CCUACGGGAGGCAGCAGUGGGGAAUAUUGGACAAUGGGCGAAAGCCUGAUCCAGCCAUGCCGCGUGUGUGAAGAAGGCCUUCGGGUUGUAAAGCACUUUCAGUGGGGAAGAAAGCCUUGGGGCUAAUACCCUCGAGGAAGGACAUCACCCACAGAAGAAGCACCGGCUAACUCCGUGCCAGCAGCCGCGGUAAUACGGAGGGUGCGAGCGUUAAUCGGAAUUACUGGGCGUAAAGCGCGCGUAGGCGGUCUGAUAAGCCGGUUGUGAAAGCCCCGGGCUCAACCUGGGAACGACAUCCGGAACUGUCAGGCUAGAGUGCAGGAGAGGAAGGUAGAAUUCCCGGUGUAGCGGUGAAAUGCGUAGAGAUCGGGAGGAAUACCAGUGGCGAAGGCGGCCUUCUGGACUGACACUGACGCUGAGGUGCGAAAGCGUGGGUAGCAAACAGGAUUAGAUACCCUAGUAGUC
rnacentral:rRNA from 1 species